UACAGAGGGGGCAAGCGUUGUUCGGAAUUACUGGGCGUAAAGGGCGCGUAGGCGACCUGCUAAGUCGAACGUGAAAUCCCUGGGCUCAACCCAGGAACUGCGUCCGAUACUGGUUGGCUUGAAUCCGGGAGAGGGAUGUGGAAUUCCAGGUGUAGCGGUGAAAUGCGUAGAUAUCUGGAGGAACACCGGUGGCGAAGGCGGCAUCCUGGACCGAGAUCGACGCUGAGGCGCGAAAGCUAGGGGAGCAAACGGG
rnacentral:rRNA from 1 species